AGAAGAUAAGUGUUUGCUAAAGGCUCACCCUACGCCAGCUGUAUUUAUUUGUUGAACUCUAUCACCAUGUUCCUUGGCCCAAACACUGAAGGUCCUUUAGAUUCUUAGUUUAUUUAGUGCCUCUUUCAACACUCUAGUACUUUGACCCCAGUCUUAUCUGAAGGAAAGAGGAUUUCUGGUAAAUAUGGACCACCUCUGUGGUUUUAACUGCUGGGGAUGAGUCAGAAAGUGAUGCUGGCUGAGUUGGAACUGAGAACUGUAAUGCUUAUAAGAAAUAAUAGAGAAGGUUUGAGGUGAAAAAGUCAUGUUCCGAGGUACAAAGGAAAAACCAGUAACAACCCAGAGUUUGGCGUUUCAUUCUGCCCUGCUCUGAUAAUAUCACUAUGGUGAUCCACCCAGGCGAUCUGGAGUUAUUUUAGGGAUCAAGGCAGUGUCAUCUGGGGUAAAUAUGGAAUGCAAAAUCUGUUCUUGUAAUAACUCAUGCUAUUCUCUUUGAACCCCUGACUCAGCGAGCCCCAGUCCAAAAAGCAGAACUAGCUAU
rnacentral:lncRNA from 1 species